GAUGAACGCUGGCGGCGUGCCUAAUACAUGCAAGUCGAGCGAACAGACGAGGAGCUUGCUCCUCUGACGUUAGCGGCUGACGGGUGAGUAACACGUGGAUAACCUACCUAUAAUACUGGGAUAACUUCGGGAAACCGGAGCUAAUACCGGAUAAUAUAGUGAACCGCAUGGUUCAAUAGUGAAAGACGGUUUUGCUGUCACUUAUAGAUGGAUCCGCGCCGCAUUAGCUAGUUGGUAAGGUAACGGCUUACCAAGGCAACGAUGCGUAGCCGACCUGAGAGGGUGAUCGGCCACACUGGAACUGAGACCCGGUCCAGACUCCUACGGGAGGCAGCAGUAGGGAAUCUUCCGCAAUGGGCGAAAGCCUGACGGAGAAACGCCGCGUGAGUGAUGAAGGUCUUCGGAUCGUAAAACUCUGUUAUUAGGGAAGAACAAAUGUGUAAGUAACUAUGCACGUCUUGACGGUACCUAAUCAGAAAGCCACGGCUAACUACGUG
rnacentral:rRNA from 1 species